rnacentral:rRNA from 1 species
AUUGAACGCUGGCGGCAUGCUUUACACAUGCAAGUCGAACGGUAACAGGCCGCAAGGUGCUGACGAGUGGCGAACGGGUGAGUAAUGCAUCGGAACGUGCCCAGUCGUGGGGGAUAACGCAGCGAAAGCUGCGCUAAUACCGCAUACGAUCUAUGGAUGAAAGCGGGGGACCGUAAGGCCUCGCGCGAUUGGAGCGGCUGAUGUCAGAUUAGGUAGUUGGUGGGGUAAAGGCUCACCAAGCCAACGAUCUGUAGCUGGUCUGAGAGGACGACCAGCCACACUGGGUCUGAGACACGGCCCAGACUCCUACGGGAGGCAGCAGUGGGGAAUUUUGGACAAUGGGCGCAAGCCUGAUCCAGCAAUGCCGCGUGCAGGAAGAAGGCCUUCGGGUUGUAAACUGCUUUUGUCAGGGAAGAAAUCCUCUAGGUUAAUACCCUUGGGGGGAUGACGGUACCUGAAGAAUAAGCACCGGCUAACUACGUGCCAGCAGCCGCAGUAAAAC